UCCACGCCGUAAACGAUGGAUACUCGGUGUGUGGUUUUCGGACUGCGUGCCUUAGCGAAAGCGUUAAGUAUCCCACCUGGGGAGUACGUCGGCAACGAUGAAACUCAAAGGAAUUGACGGGGGUCCGCACAAGCGGUGGAGUAUGUGGUUUAAUUCGAUGAUACGCGAGGAACCUUACCUAGGCUCGAAUUGUACUGGACGGUAUUAGAAAUAGUACUUCCUUCGGGUCAGUA
rnacentral:rRNA from 1 species